rnacentral:lncRNA from 1 species
CCUCCUCCAACCCCCGGAGUGUCCACAUGAGGAUAAUGAGGGCCCCCACCCAUGUGAGGCUCUAGAGUGCCAGUUCUUCUGAAGGUCUGCUCUCCUGGGCAUUGCUUGUUCCAAACUGCUGUUUGGUACAGCCUGGGCCACUGCCUUUCUGAAGAAUGUCACUGGCUUUGCUCCUUGUCACUACCAAAUGUGCCCAAAUGUGGCCACAGGCUUAACUUGAAAUUCCCCACAGAACAACUGGGAAAUGCCGCAAUGCUUAUGAUGGUAAUGAUGAUAGUGGUGAUGGAAAUGACAAUGAUGGUGAUGCUGCUGGUGGUGGUGGUGGUGGUGACUGAGGUGGUGGUGGUGGUGACUGAGGUAGCGGUGGUGGUGAUUGAGAUGGUGAUGAUUGAGAUGAUGGUGGUGAUUGAGAUGNNNNNNNNNNNNNNNNNNNNNNNNNUGAUUGAGAUGGUGAUGAUUGAGAUGAUGGUGGUGAUUGAGAUGAUGGUGGUGAUUGAGAUGGUGAUGAUUGAGAUGAUGGUGGUGAUUGAGAUGGUGAUGGUGAUUGAGAUGAUGAUGGUGUUUGAGAUGGUGGUGGUGAUUGAGAUGAUGGUGGUGGUGAUUGAGAUGAUGGUGGUGGUGACUGAGAUGGUGAUGGUUAUGACUGAGAUGGUGAUGAUUGAGAUGGUGGUGAUUGAGAUGGUGAUGGUGGUGAUUGAGGUGAUAGUGGUGGUGGUUGAUAUGGUGGUGGUGGUGAUUGAAUGGUGAUGAUUGAGAUGGUGAUGGUGAUGGUGGUGAUUGAGAUGGCGAUUGAGAUGGUGGUGAUUGAGACGGUAAUGAUUAUGACUGAGAUGGUGCUGAUGAUUGAGAUGGUGGUGGUGCUGAUGACUGAGAUGAUGAUGGUGGUGAUUGAGAUGGUGGUGCUGGUGGUGAGGGGGUCCUAGAGGGAGACUCAAAUCAACCGCUGCCCUAGCGCCCUUGGAGCACAGGAGAGCUCCCUCACCUCCCACCCUCCAGCUUGGCCUCCUCUCCCUCUGGACCAGGUUCUAGCUUUACGCUUGUGUAGCUCAAAGCCCAGCAAGAGGUUUUCCCAGAAGAGCAGCCUCCCUGUGGGCUGUCCCCGGGAGCAGCCAUUUCCACCUCUGCUUCACACGCAUGGCCCCUGCCUUGUCCCCAACAGCACUCGCUCAGCAGCCCCUCCCUCCCUGCACACUUCUUGAGCAUUCAAGACAUCGCUUGAAUCAAAAUGCAUUUUCCUCUGGCCUGAAGGCUGCUGACCCCUGGGAGCGGGCCCCGGCCACCUGUGCGUCCCUCC